rnacentral:rRNA from 1 species
CCCGAAACCAGGUGAGCUACCCCGAGACAGCCUAUGUUAAUUUAGGGCUAACCCGUCUCUGUGGCAAAAGAGUGGGAAGAGCUCCGGGUAGAAGUGACAGACCUACCGAACCUGGUGAUAGCUGGUUGCCUGAGAAAUGGAUAGAAGUUCAGCCUCGCAUCCCCCGAUCCAAUAAAUAUAUCGUCAAGAUGCUCAGGGAGACAUGCGAGAGUUAGUUAAAAGGGGUACAGCCCUUUUAACAAAGGAUACAACCUUCACAGGAGGAUAAAGAUCAUAAUAUAUAAGAUAUACUGUUCUAGUGGGCCUGAAAGCAGCCACCUAAACAGAAAGCGUUAAAGCUCGGACAGAAAGAAGUUUAUUAUACUGAUAAGAAAUCUUAUUCCCCUAGCUGUAUCAGGCCAACCCAUGCCCCCAUGGAAGAGAUUAUGCUAAAAUGAGUAAUAAGAAGACACGCUCUUCUCCCGGCACACGUGUAAACCAGAUCGGACCAACCACUGGAGCUUAACGAACCCAACCCAAGAGGGUAGUGUGAUUAAUAAAAACCUCAAGAAGACCUCACAUCAACUGAUCGUUAACCCCACACUGGAGUGCUAUCUCAAGGGAAAGACUAAAAGAGAGGGAAGGAACUCGGCAAACACAAGCCUCGCCUGUUUACCAAAAACAUCGCCUCCUGCAACUAGACUGAGUAUAGGAGGUCCAGCCUGCCCAGUGACUACGGGUUCAACGGCCGCGGUAUCUUGACCGUGCAAAGGUAGCGCAAUCACUUGUCUCUUAAAUAGAGACCUGUAUGAAUGGCUAGACGAGGGCUUAACUGUCUCCCCCCUCCAGUCAGUGAAAUUGAUCUAUCCGUGCAGAAGCGGGUAUAAAUAUACAAGACGAGAAGACCCUUUGGAGCUUAAGGUACAAAAUUCAACCACGUUAAACAACUCCAUAAAAGGCAAGAACUUAGUAGCAAUGAAAUUUUACCUUCGGUUGGGGCGACCGCGGAGGAAAAACAAGCCUCCGAGUGGACUGGGCCAAACCCCUGAAGCCAAGAGAAACAUCUAGAAGCCGCAGAAUAUCUGACCAAAAAUGAUCCGGCCAAAGGCCGAUCAACGAACCAAGUUACCCAAGGGAUAACAGCGCAAUCCCCUCCUAGAGCCCGUAUCGACGAGGGGGUUUACGACCUCGAUGUUGGAUCAGGACAUCCUAAUGGUGC